UGGGGAAUAUUGCACAAUGGGGGAAACCCUGAUGCAGCGACGCCGCGUGAGCGAUGAAGGCUUUCGAGUCGUAAAGCUCUGUCCUAUGGGAAGAUAAUGACGGUACCAUAGAAGAAAGCCCCGGCUAAUUACGUGCCAGCAGCCGCGGUAAUACGUAAUGGGCGAGCGUUGUCCGGAAUUAUUGGGCGUAAAGAGUGCGUAGGCGGCAAAUUAAGUCAGAUGUGAAAACUAAGGGCUCAACCCAUAGAUUGCAUCUGAAACUGAUAUGCUUGAGUCAAGGAGAGGAAAGUGGAAUUCCUAGUGUAGCGGUGGAAUGCGUAGAUAUUAGGAGGAAUACCGGUGGCGAAGGCGACUUUCUAGACUUGAACUGACGCUGAGGCACGAAAGCGUGGGGAGCAAACAGG
rnacentral:rRNA from 1 species